UUUUUGGCGAUGAUGUACGUGUAGCUCCCACCGAAAAUCUUGAAAUUGUAUCUGAUGGAAAAAUGCAAUGGCUGCUGCUUCUCUAGUGUAUCUUCAUCUGCUAUAUAUUCUUUCAAGGGUCGCUUUUGUUGUCAUCUUAAUCUUUGUUAAUUCGCGUCCUUUAUGUCACAUAUUGUAGCGGAAGGCCCUUGAACAAAAGAGCAUCAAAACCUGUUAGUACCCUUAUUAUUUUAGAAUCAGAAAGAUAGGUUUUAUCCAAGCCGAUUCUUCAUUGCCGCUGCUACUGAUAAUUUGAGUCUUCAAAAAGCUAUGUUGUUGGAGAACUCCCUGGCAUGCAUCUGAGAGCGGAACAGACGUUGCCGAUACUGCACAGUUCAUGAAGAUUUAUCGAAGUAGGGAAAAUGGUCAAUCAUAUAUAACCUCAGUUUGGACUACUUUAAUUGCGACAGACAGUGCAUGCACUAUGGCUGAUGAUUAAAAUUAGACCUGAAAUGGUACCAUGUCUAUCCUUAUUUUGGUUACAUCAUCAAUUGAUGUUAAUUGGUUACAAUUUCAGUGAUAUUGUUUUGCUAAUAUCCAGAUACUUUGCAAUGGACCUGGAACUUGCAUUCCCCUUUGUGUUAUUGCAUUCCCCUCUAUACACAUGGUUUGAAACCCUCUUGAAAUUUUAGA